rnacentral:rRNA from 1 species
AAUGCUUGCAUUCACCGUAAGAAGUUGAGUGGCGGACGGGUGAGUAACACGUGGGUAACCUGCCUAAAAGAAGGGGAUAACACUUGGAAACAGGUGCUAAUACCGUAUAUCUCUGAGGAUCGCAUGAUCCUUGGAUGAAAGAUGGUUCUGCUAUCGCUUUUAGAUGGACCCGCGGCGUAUUAACUAGUUGGUAGGGUAACGGCCUACCAAGGUGAUGAUACGUAGCCGAACUGAGAGGUUGAUCGGCCACAUUGGGACUGAGACACGGCCCAAACUCCUACGGGAGGCAGCAGUAGGGAAUCUUCCA